rnacentral:lncRNA from 1 species
UGCCUUGCUGAUCUGAGCUCAGACCUGCCAAUUUACCAGAGAUAAUUGAUAACACCCUGUAACAGCUGAGAGGAAAAUGGAAGAAACGGAGAUACUUUUAGUGAAGCAGAAUAAACCACUGAACAGUGCUUUGAUUUUCCCAUUAGGAAAAAUGAGGAAGCUGUGAGUACCAGUGGAAGGAACGAGCCAGGAAGAGGGACUGGAACCAUCUCAGAAGCCAUGCCCCUCAGGCUGGAACUUGCCCUGUCUCCUCGCAGAUGAGCUACCUCUUGUGUUUAAGAAUUAAAGGAAGAUGAGCUAGGAAUCAAGAAAUACGCAGAACUGAUUCCUGUCACUGGCGCCACCCUGCCACUUGCCCAGAGCUGUGGUAUAAAUUUUUUUAAUAGGCUGAAAUAAAAAUAUGAAUAGCAUUUUGGUAUUAAGCAUUAAAUUGAUAAAGGCUAUGAGAUACACCUGCUCUCAACCAUGUUAAUUUUUUAUUAUUGGUAUUAAUAAAUUAUUACUUACUAACAUAUUAACAAGAAUUGCAUUGAGAAACAAAGCAUCCACAGGCCAAAUCUUCUGAAUUUCAAAUGUUUAUAUUAAUGCGUUGUAUUCUAGAAAAGUAGAAUUGUCUUAAGUAGCUUUGUAAUAUAAAGUCAUCUAUCAGCCCAUUACACCUAUUAGAAUGUUUUAACCUUUAUUUCCCACUUUUUUGUUUCUAGACUGAGUGUACUUGGUCUGGUAUUUGUGGCAUAACUUACGGAACACAUAAGAAUGAUACAGAUACUAUUUAAUGAUGACCUAAUACAAGCUUAGAUAGCUAAGGUGAAAGCUUCUAUGGCCUUAACAUUUUCCUCUUGAAGAAUGUAUUUUCUGUAAUAAAAUACAGUGGCUACUUGAAAUCUAUAAACUUAUGUGAGGUCUGGAUAAAUCUGAGCAACUUUCUUCUUUGUGCUCCAGGAACCUACGCAC